rnacentral:rRNA from 1 species
UACGGGGGGUGCGAGCGUUGUCCGGAAUCACUGGGCGUAAAGGGCGCGUAGGUGGUUUGAUAAGGGUGUGGUGAAAGUCCGGGGCUCAACCCCGGAUCUGCCGUGCCGACUGUCAAACUCGAGGGCUGUAGAGGCAGACGGAAUUCCGGGUGUAGCGGUGGAAUGCGUAGAUAUCGUAAGGAAGACCAGUGGCGAAGGCGGGUCUCUGGACAGUUCCUGACGCUGAGGCACGAAGGUCAGGGGAGCAAACGGG